rnacentral:pre_miRNA from 1 species
UUUGUACUCCCUCUGUCCCAUAUUAAGUGACGAAAUAUUACGUGUAUCUAGACGCGUUUUGGGUAUAGGCACAUCCAUAUUUGGGCAAAUUUGAGUCACUUAAUACGGGACGGAGGGAGUACUAA